UCCCCGGAGGACUAGUGGUUAAGCCACAGCGCUCUCGCCACUGCAGCCCGGGUUUGAUUCCCAGGCAGGGAA
rnacentral:tRNA from 1 species